rnacentral:rRNA from 1 species
UACAGAGGGUGCGAGCGUUAAUCGGAUUUACUGGGCGUAAAGGGCGCGUAGGCGGUUGUGUGAGUGUGAUGUGAAAGCCCCGGGCUUAACCUGGGAAGUGCAUCGCAAACGACAUAACUGGAGUAUAAGAGAGGGUGGCGGAAUUUCCGGUGUAGCGGUGAAAUGCGUAGAGAUCGGAAGGAACGUCAAUGGCGAAGGCAGCCACCUGGCUUAAUACUGACGCUGAGGCGCGAAAGCGUGGGGAUCAAACAGG